rnacentral:tRNA from 1 species
UUAAUUGAAGCCAAAUUUGAGGCAUAUCAUUGUUAAUGAUAUCAAUGAGAUAAAUCUCCAAUUAAA